AUUGAACGCUGGCGGCAGGCCUAACACAUGCAAGUCGAACGGUAACAGGAAACAGCUUGCUGUUUCGCUGACGAGUGGCGGACGGGUGAGUAAUGUCUGGGAAACUGCCUGAUGGAGGGGGAUAACUACUGGAAACGGUAGCUAAUACCGCAUAACGUCGCAAGACCAAAGAGGGGGACCUUCGGGCCUCUUGCCAUCGGAUGUGCCCAGAUGGGAUUAGCUAGUAGGUGGGGUAACGGCUCACCUAGGCGACGAUCCCUAGCUGGUCUGAGAGGAUGACCAGCCACACUGGAACUGAGACACGGUCCAGACUCCUACGGGAGGCAGCAGUGGGGAAUAUCGCACAAUGGGCGCAAGCCUGAUGCAGCCCUGCCGCGUGUAUGAAGAAGGCCUUCGGGUUGGAAAAUACUUUCAGCGGGGAGGAAAGGAGUAAAGUUAAUACCUUUGCUCAUUUACGUUACCCGCAGAAGGAGCCCCGGCUAACUCCGUG
rnacentral:rRNA from 1 species